rnacentral:lncRNA from 1 species
UUCCAACCUUAUCCCCUCCUUAACUAUCCGCAAGGUUCUGAACAUGUCUCUCAACUUUUUUGAAACGCAUUCGUUUUGCAAAAUGGAGAUGGUUUGACUUACCUCCUAGGGUAACGGCAAGAAUCCCAUUGCAUAAGAUGAGUUGGAUAAGGCGACAGUGACAGCAGGACUUUCACGGUUUUCAUUCUGUAAUCCGUCUUAGCCUUCAUUCCUAGGGCCGCCAUAACAAACUCCCACAGACGUGGUGCCUUGAAACAGCGGGAACGUCUUCUCUCCCAGUUCUAGAGGUUAAAAGUGCAAAAUCAAGGUGUUGACGGAGCCAUGCUCUCUCUCUGAAGACUCCAGGGAAGACUCCCUCCUUGCCUCCUCCAGCUUCUAGUGUUACGGGCCCCACCUGAUGCUGCUUGGCUUGUGGCGGCUUCCCUUCAAGCUCUGCCUCCAUCUCUUGGCCUCCUUCCUGGCAUGUAUCUAGGUACCACUUCCUCUUCCUGGAGGGAGACGAGUCCUCAGAUUCGGGGCCCGACCUAAGUACAGCAUCAUCUCAACUUCAUUAAUUAGGUCUGCAGGGACUCCUUUUCUAAAGAAGGUCAUGUUCUCAGGGUUUUUGUUUUGGGAGGGGAGGCACAUUCAAACCCACCUAACACUGUAAAUCUCAAUAGCUUUUUUGGGGGGCAGGUAUGACUUCAAUCUUCCCUAACGUCUCCCAACACUCCCAGAGGAUGUAUAGUUUAAGUGCCUACUAAAAUGUUGCUUUUUUUCUGAUUACUGUAAGAAAUAAACAAUUUGACAUUUUCAUUAUGACCGACGUGGCAUGACUGGCCGCGGUGUUUCUAAUGGUACCGAAUGUGUUUUCGCACCUCUGUGCCGUCCAUCUGGCUUGCUGGCCUGGCUUCUACCGAGUACAGAUGUCAUUCUCAUGUUGCAAAUCCACAGGGAAAUUUGAAGACUGUUCACAUCCUGUGAGCUGGGAUGUGCGACCAUCCUUUUCAAAAGACACCUUGUCCUCACGCUGUGUUCUAGGAACAAAAAUCAAAAUUUGUCAUCCCCUGGUUUACUACCUAAGAUGGUACACCUUAAAAAAAUUUAGAAACAAAUCAGCAGCCAAGCCACUGUUUCCAUAACUAAGCAAGAACUGGUAUCUAUCAUUAUCUUUACAAAGUUUUUAAAAUUCUUUUUUUGGGGUCUUUUUGUCUAUUUAGAGUUGCCCCCGAGGGAUAUGGAGGUUCCCAGGCCAUAGGGGGUGAACCAGGGCUGUAGCGGCUGGCCUGCACCACAGCCACAGCAACACCAGAUUCUUAACCCACUGAAUAAGGCGAGGGAUCCAACCCACGUCCUCAUGGAUCCUAGUCGGGUUCAUUAAGCACUGAGCCACGAUGGGAACUCCUCCAAAUUUUUAAAUUAUUAAUAAAACAUUUUUAAUGUCAGAAUCGUAGCAUCUUAAGAAUAAAAGCAUCCUAGAGAUAUUACCUUCAAUCCUUUCUGCUUACAGUUGAGAAAACCGAUGUCCUGGAAGAUUAAGUGGUGACAUUUACAAGGUUACACAACUAGGAGUUACAGAAACCACACUGGUAUUCAAACUCCUUCAGCUCCUCCCUCCAUACCAAUACCUGAUCUGUUGGCUAGAUUGUGAGAGCCUUAUUCUAAUGGGCAUCAGUGUCUCAGAAGGCUUUUUCUCCCUUAGGCAUGUUGAUCAAGUGUCUCGCAUUUUUAACGUCACUUAGCGGCUCCAAUUUUAAAGAUACACUUCAAUAGAAAGGAUUUCCAACAUCAUCUGGAUUAUUCCAUGAUCCGUCUUGUGUAGUCAUAAGUCAAUACCUUACCGUAAAAAAGAGAGAUUUGGUGCCACAUUAAACUAUUUCUUGAGCAUCAGCGUAGGGUAGGAUUUCUGAUAUUUGUUGGAAAAACAAAGAUGAAAAAGAUCUAGCAUCCAAGAGUCAUAGUCUCAGCUGAUCAACUAGCCAUUGAAACACCAUUACCAAAUUUGAUGAGAUAAGCAAGAGCUCUCAUACCGUCAGCAGAGAGAGGGAAGUGUCAAGAAAGGCUUCACAUAUCAUGUGAUCUAGGAUGUCAGGAGGAGAAGGGCAGGGAGGAGAGCACAUCGUUCUUGGAAGGACAGAAAUACACGUGACAUUAUGAAAGCAGAAGCUAGCUGAGACUCUCCGGAAGCUUCGCCUGUCUGUAGGUCCUUUAACUCACUCUUUCCAAAGGCAUUUAUUGAGUCUUUCUCUGGUCUAGGCAGCAUCAGGCACACAGCAUAGGGCAGUAAGACAGCAUCUCUGCCAUCGCGUAGAGUGGGUCAUUCCCUUCACCCCUAAGAUUUAGAAUUUGAUUGGCUUCCAAGAACGUCUCGUGCAACUCCAUCCAUUAGCCAGCCAGAACGGGGUGCCUGCCACCUGUUUGGGGAAGAUCUAUCUGCAGGCCAGGGGAGUCAUGGGAAGUUAAUCCGUGCCGAAGGGCGAGAGAAGGUGGGCGGGGCCUCUGGGCAUGUGACCCAGGAGGGCAGGACCCUUGCAGGCUCAGGACCAGCCGGACCCAUUUUUCUUAAGUCCCCUCCAGGGCUAGACCAUCCGGAGGUACCAAGACCCAAAUGCCAAAGUGUUAUUCAAGAGUAGAGACCAAAGUGAGGUGCAGUGAAGAAACCAUUUUUCCGUUUACCAUGGAUGAGUUUUCUACUGCUGCUUAACAGAUUAUCAUAAAUGUCACAGCAGACAACAGCCCCAACUUAUAAACGUUUUUCCCUUGGUAGGGCAGUGGGAAAAGUUCCCUCAUGAUUUGUUCUAAGGGAUGGAUGACCUUGAAACUUGGGUCAGCACAAUACAAUUCUAAUAUCACACCAGGGAUACUGAAUAUAAGCAGAAUCUCUCGCCUAUUAUCAUACUUCGAGGUCAUUAUAUGACUUAAAAGUUAACACAUAUCCCAAACUCAUCAAAUUGUAUGGGCAGGUCUUCUAGAUAUAAAUUGUAAGUCACUAAAGCUGUUUUUUGGUAAAAGCUUGCCAUUCUCAUAACUCUAAGAUUAUUCAAUGUCUGUUAUCAAAUAAUCUUGUAUUUAGGUCUUUACUUCAUAUAAUGCUUUCAUUUGUCUCUUCUUUUUUUGGUCUUUUUAGGGCCGCACCCAUGGCACAUGGAAGUUCCUUCUUUGUCUGCGGUUUGAUUGCCACUUCUUCCCAGGGCAGGCACAGGACUGGAGGAAGAUGGCAGGGCAGGGAGACCACAGCGGUGGGGCGAGCUACACUUCAGCUCUUUCAUGACACAGGGGUGAUUGAGUUUCCCAUGGGUCAGGAGGCCCCAGUGGGAAAUGGACUGGCCUAGACUCUUUCCAGGAAUCUACCAAGAGGACCGUUCACAGAAGACCAGCACCCAGAAAAGGUUCACCGGAAGAAGGUAAGUCAAGUACCAUCGCCCACAUCGGGGAAUGUGCCGCGGGGCCUCUUGUGAAGUGUCUAGAAAGAGAUCACACAAGAGCAAACAUGCAGAUGCUGGCAUAAAGUUAGCCUCCAUGCCAACUGGGUUCAACAGAGAAGCCGAGAACCCAAGGAGAAGAACAGGGCUGCCCUGUCUGCAUUCCCUCUUCCGCGCUUCCCAGCCCCGGCCUAAGAAAGGAAGUGGAAGUGUCCCAAGGGUCACCUUUUCACUCCAAGUUUAAGAUGUUUGAAAUGUAGCACCCGUAGUGUCUCAGGCUGCCGACAAAAUACCGCAGACUAGGUGGUUUCAACAAUAAAAAAACAUAUCGUAUCAUCUAGAGGCUGGAAGUCUAGGAUCAAGGUGCCAACAGAGUUUCCCACAGUCCUCUCUCCUUAGGUAGCAGAUGGGCACCUUCUCACGGUGUCCUCACAUGGAAUUCCCUCUGUGUGUGCACGUCGCUGGUGUCUCUCCCUCUUCUUAUAAGGACACUGGUCCACUGGUGCAUUAGGACUCCACCUGCAUAACCCAAGAUAAACUUAAUUAGCUCUCUACAAACCCUGUCUCCAAAGGUAGUCAGUCGCCUUGGGGGUUAGGAUGUCAAGACGUGAAUUUGGGGUGGGGAAGCAUACUCCAGUCCAUAACGGCACUUAAAGACCCAGUGUGGAUAUAUGGGUUGUUUUUACAGAAUCUUGAUAACCAGUAAUUACAGGGUGUCAGGGAAAGAAACUCAGCCCAAUUCACAAGCCCAUGUUACGGGACUCGUUUCAAGCGUCAAGUCUCCCCCUUCUUCCAAAGCAUCCAAAAUGACUUUCUUUCUGAACUUGCUUCUAUUUAUUUUGGCUGCAUGCGGAUGGGAGUGCACUCACUGGUUUAGCUCAGUCGGCAGCAAGCUCUGCAAAGGUGGGUGGCCACAGGCAAUGGCAAGAGAUGGAACAGAUGCUGGCCGUGACCUUGUGAUUUGCUUAAACACUGAGUAUCUCCUGCGCCUCAAGGGCGAUGUGCCUGGUUUCAUUCCUAAGUUUAUCUGUGGACAUGUUCCAUUUUCUGAUUAGAUAAGCCAGGGCAUCAUAUUAUAUAUAUAUAUAUUUUAACUAAAGAGCUCUUGACUGUAUCUGUGACGUCUAUUAGUUUACUGUUUUUAAUAUGUUUACUUUUGUUCAGAAACAAGAGCCUAUUUAAAGUUCUUUGGAG